CUGAUAGAUGCAUGAAUGAAUGAAUGAAUAUAUGAGAGGUUGAUGCAUGGAUGGAUUUAUGAAUUUCAGACAGAUGAAUGGAUUAAUGAAUGAAUGAAUCCAACAAUAUUAAAAGAUGGGUCUUAGAUGCUCACCUGAACCACACAAAGCCAGAGAGACAGAGGAUGAGAACCAGAAUAAACCCUAUGAUUCCUAUAAUUGCAGGCGGACCCAAGGGAUUAGUCCCUAAAGAAGAUGGACAACAUUUACAGAAGUAUUUAUCUAAAAAUGUGAUUAUCUUGCACUUCCUAAAAAUGUGUAGAUUUGAGCAAUUCUCAAAACUUGAUGCUUGUUUUGUAAAAUAGUUAUAAAAUACAUUUCUUCUGAAGCGUGGGGUUGUUGCAUGUUUCAUUUAUGCUUUUGUUAAUUUACUUGUCUUUCCCUUAAGGUAAAACCCCAAAUAAUGAUAACAAUACAUUGUAAUAACCUUUACCCUCCCAUUGAUCAACAACACAGUCACUCUAUCAGAUUCCUACCAUGAUGUCAUCAUCUCUGAGUAACUUCACCAAUACACACAUAAGGAGUCAGCAUGUUUGUCCAAUAUUACCUGUGACAGUCAGAGUUGUUCCAGGGAAGCUGUACCCCCACUGUGCAAAAUUUGUUUUAAAUGCGAACUUGUACUCAGCUGAGUCAGUCUCUCUCAGGUCUGUGAUUCUCAGGGUACAGUCACUCACAUUAUCUCCAAGGUACUUCACACGACCUGAAUACUCUGGCAAUGAACUCAGGUUUGUUGGUGCCUCAUCACGUUCUCCUUGUAUAUACCAGUUCAUUUCUAUGACUGUGUGGUUAUUUGGAUGUUGGUAUGUGCAGGGAAGAUCUACUGUUGAGCCGAUCAAGGCAGAUAUUCUCUGAUGGGUGUAAGUAACAUUGAAACAGGUUUUACAGAGAACACCUGAAAUAUACAAGAAUCCUGUCAAUGUCUGUAAAUAGUCUGACAUUUGUUUAAAUCAGUUAAUCUGGACCGGAAUAAUUGUUAUGGGUAGUAACAAUGUAAAUCAGAUGCAAAAAUUUAUAAACUGCACUUGGAUCCAGGCUUACAGACUACAGGAGAGCGGAGAUCAUCAGAACCAUUUACAGCACAGGAGUAACUGUGUAUAUAAUAACUGAAAUCAAUGUAUUGCCGGAGGGGGGAAUCGUCAAGACGUUGUCCAUUCUUGUACCAGAUGUGGGUGUGGUUUUGGUUGUCACUCAAACUACAGGGGUCGUUACAGGUCAAUACCACUUCCUGUCCCCACACUGGGUUGGUGGGAGACACCAUCACUUGGCUUGUUUGUCCACAUUUUGUUGCCAUAGUUCCUAUUUGUGUGAAUGGAAACCACAGAGGACAGUCACUCAGUGAGAGGAGAGAAGUACUGUGAGAAGUUACACAGAGAAGCCUAACAGACAUUGUCAAUAAAUAUAAUUAUAUUCUUCCAUACAAAUACACAUUAAAAUAAGUCUAAUGUCCAUCAGAAAAAAUGCAUAAUAUAAAUGCAUAAAAUAAUUAUUGAUAUUAAUACUAAUAAUAUAAUAUAUUAGUUCACAUGCUUCUUGAAUUAUUGGCAUUUAAGAAUUGUAUUCACAAUAUCUUUCUUUAUUUAGUGAGCCUUACAAUAUAAAUUUGUUUAACCAGUUACUGAGCCCUUACUGUACCUGUUACAGACCAGAUAAGAACCACCAACACACUUCCUGUAGUUCUCAUCGUCGUGUCACCCAGUAGUCUUAGAGACAUAAACAACAACACUUUAUAACAGUUGAAUAAAUACACUUGAAACCAUUAAGAAGCAAACAUGAACACAUCUUGGGUGGUUGUCCCUCUUCAUCUUCUCCUCUUCACCCAGGAGCCUUUGGAGGGGGCGUAACUGUCUGUGUAGUACUGGGUAUGUCCCAGGUGACUACCUGAAUGUUUUACAACAACAGGAAAUUGGUUAUUUGAACUGUCAUGUGACUUUCCAGUGGUGUAUUUAAACCCCCUGUUUGUCAGGUAGUGUUCUGGGGACAGAUUGGAGCUGUGUUGUAGCUGACCUGUAUUUUUCUUAACAGGAACUUGGAACAUGGAACUUGGAACAUGUAGACAUUGGAUCUCUGCGUCCUGGAUCUCAUCUCCUGUUCCCCUUUCUGUAUGUUUGUACGUGAUUGAUUGAUUUUAAAAUGAAAUGGACAACAUUAUCAUCUGAUGUAUGGAAAAGGAUAAUGGAAUUCUUUCAAAACGGUUGAAAAUGUGUUGAUUUAUACUGGAAUGUGGAAACAAAUGGACAACCAUGCCUUGAAUAAAUUAUAGAACCAUUUUUGUUGGGUGUUUUGGUCUCAGCUUGCCAAUGCCUUUUCAACCCAGAUCCUUAAAAGACCCAUCACAUUUCCACCUUUUUUGUACACACAUAAUUAUAAAUAUAUUGCUCCAUAUGUCUUUUAUUCUCUGAAGCCUGACUAGAGCAUUGAGUCCAAAAACUAUCAUUAAUCUAUCAUAAAAUAUAGGUUGUCAUUAACAAUCCAGUAAAGCGUACUUACAGGGUGAAGGGUAGAUGACUCCUUCUUAAGACAAUGUGUAGACAAGAUGUAACUGGGUGAUUUACACAUUUUUAAGGUUUUCAGGGCAUAAGUACCUGAUCUGAUGGACCACAUCCGCCCUCUUUUACAUUAACAUGCAUGACACAAUUAAGUUGACGCACGAUAACCAUUAAUGUAACACAAGAGUAAGGAUCUGCACACCAGUUUGGGUCCAUGUUAUCUCCUUUUAAUCCCUUCUAGAGCAUUGAGUACAAUAAUAACUAUAAUCCAUGGUUUAUCACAAAAAUUAUUUAAAGUGUACUUACAGAAAGAAGGGUAGAGGGUCUUCUCCUUAAGGUCAGUUCCUUGCCAUUUAAGAAACAAGAAAUUGGGUGAUUGACACAUUGAACGGUUGCACAACAUAACUGAAAGGAAUGAGCAUUUC
ensembl:lncRNA